rnacentral:rRNA from 1 species
AUUGAACGCUGGCGGCAGGCUUAACACAUGCAAGUCGAGCGGAGAUGAGGUGCUUGCACCGUAUCUUAGCGGCGGACGGGUGAGUAAUGCUUAGGAAUCUGCCUACUAGGGGGGGACAACAUUCCGAAAGGAAUGCUAAUACCGCAUACGUCCUACGGGAGAAAGCAGGGGAUCUUCGGACCUUGCGCUAAUAGAUGAGCCGAGGUCGGAUUAGCUAGUCGGUGGGGUAAAGGACUACCAAGGGGACGAUCUGUAGCGGGUCUGAGAGGAUGAUCCGACACGCUGGGCCUGAGACACGGCCCAGACUUCUACGGGAGGCAGCAGUGGGGAAUAUUGGACAAUGGGGGGAACCCUGAUCCAGCCAUGCCGCGUAUGUGAAGAAGGCCUUAUGGUUGUAAAGCACUUUGAGCGAGGAGGAGGCUACUGAGACUAAUACCCUUGGAUAGUGGACGUUACUCGCAGAAUAAGCACCGGCUAACUCUGUGCCAGCAGCCGCCGUAACAC